AGUUGGGCCUGCUCGGUGAAAUUUUUUUAACAGCUGCGGUAUUUUAACUGUACUAAGGUAGCAUAAUAAUUUGCCUUAUAAUUUGAGGCUAGAAUGAAUGGUUUGACGAAGGUUAAUCUGUCUCAACUUUAUUUUUUAGAAAUUAAUUUUCAUAGUGAAAAAGCUUGAAUUUUUUAAUGGGACGAGAAGACCCUAUUGAGCUUAUAAUUUUAUUAAUAUUUUAUUGUUAUUUAUAUUUAUAUUAUAUAAAUUUUAAUUGGGGUGAUUAAGGAAUAAUUAAUUAAUGAGUAACUUCCUUAAAUAUAUAUAUUGUUGAAUUAAGUAACCGAUUAGUUGAUGUAUUUUUAUUAUAGGUAUUGCUUAUAAUAUAGUUACCAUAGGGAUAACAGCGUAAUUUACUUAGAGAGCUCUUAUUGAAAAGUAAGAUUGCGACCUCGAUGUUGGAUUAAAGUAACCUUAAGGUGUAGAAGCUUUAUAAGGUAAAUCUGUUCGAUUUUUAAAACUUUACGUGAUCUGAUUCCAGACCCGGAG
rnacentral:rRNA from 1 species